UACGUAGGUGGCAAGCGUUAUCCGGAGUUACUGGGCGUAAAGGGCGUGUAGGUGGUUUAGUAAGUCUGGCGUGAAAUUUUUCGGCUUAACCGGGAAAGGUCGUCGGAUACUGCUGAGCUAGAGGACGGUAGAGGCGUGUGGAAUUCCGGGUGUAGUGGUGAAAUGCGUAGAGAUCCGGAGGAACACCAGUGGCGAAGGCGACACGCUGGGCCGUACCUGACACUGAUGCGCGACAGCAUGGGGAGCAAACAGG
rnacentral:rRNA from 1 species